rnacentral:rRNA from 1 species
UACAGAGGGGGCAAGCGUUGUUCGGAAUUACUGGGCGUAAAGGGUGCGUAGGCGGGUUUUUAAGUCAGGGGUGAAAUCCUGGAGCUCAACUCCAGAACUGCCUUUGAUACUGAAGAUCUUGAGUCCGGGAGAGGGAUGUGGAAUUCCAGGUGUAGCGGUGAAAUGCGUAGAUAUCUGGAGGAACACCGGUGGCGAAGGCGGCAUCCUGGACCGGUAUUGACGCUGAUGCGCGAAAGCCAGGGGAGCAAACGGG